GAUCGGACCCACCAUUAAACAUCGGUGGAUUCAGCCUACGGAACCUCUCGUAAUAGGAUUCUAUCGGCUGUACAGGUUGGGCAGCUAACUGCAUCUGCUGCUGUUGCUCAAGCAGUUGUGCUAUUGACUGGUACACUCCUGCUAAAUCUGCCUGGGUUGCUAUGGAGUGUGGAGUAGUUUGUGAAAUUGAUUGGCUAUCAGGGUCCGGAGAAGGUGCCCUUAUUUCUCUUUCAUCCUCCAUGUUGCUUACGGCUACCUAGCAGUCAAGAAUUUAUGAUGAGUUUACAUAAAUUAUCUCUUAACAUAGUAAAAUAGCAAAAACCAUCAAAGAGAUCACAUAGUCAUAUCAUAAUAAAUCUGAGAAUCUACAAUAUUCACCUUCUCUUAUUAACACAAAUCUUCAUUAUUGAAAAAUCUAGUCUCCCAUCACAGUCAAUAUUUUUGACCAAUUUAAAUUGAUUCGAUCCACUAUACUUUCGCUACACAACUCUG
rnacentral:lncRNA from 1 species